GGGCCCCUACGGGGCGCAGCAGUGGGGAAUAUUGGGCAAUGGGCGCAAGCCUGACCCAGCAACGCCGCGUGAAGGAAGAAGGCUUUCGGGUUGUAAACUUCUUUUGACAGGGAAGAGCAGAAGACGGUACCUGUCGAAUAAGCCACGGCUAACUACGUGCCAGCAGCCGCGGUAAUACGUAGGUGGCAAGCGUUGUCCGGAUUUACUGGGUGUAAAGGGCGUGUAGCCGGGCUGACAAGUCAGAUGUGAAAUCCGGGGGCUUAACCCCCGAACUGCAUUUGCAACCGUUGGUCUUGAGUAUCGGC
rnacentral:rRNA from 1 species